rnacentral:misc_RNA from 1 species
CCCGUACCCGUAGCGUUUUCUGCAUCCCAAGGGUCUAUGAAUAUUGUGGGCCGUGAUUACAAGGCAAGUGCGCAUGUAAUUCGGAACACGAAUUUCACUUUAAUGUUCACCCGAAGCCGCACCGUGCUAACGGGCAGCAGUGGGAGAACGUGGGGAGGGUCGGCCAACGAAUUCCAUCAAUGUAGGUAUGCAACACAGGAAAACGGCCACUCGGCCAAGGCUAAAGCAGCUCUUGUGCCAAC